rnacentral:rRNA from 1 species
ACUUAAAUUGAAGAGUUUGAUCAUGGCUCAGAUUGAACGCUGGCGGCAGGCCUAACACAUGCAAGUCGAACGGUAACAGGAAGCAGCUUGCUGCUUCGCUGACGAGUGGCGGACGGGUGAGUAAUGUCUGGGAAACUGCCUGAUGGAGGGGGAUAACUACUGGAAACGGUGGCUAAUACCGCAUAACGUCGCAAGACCAAAGAGGGGGACCUUCGGGCCUCUUGCCAUCAGAUGUGCCCAGAUGGGAUUAGCUUGUUGGUGAGGUAACGGCUCACCAAGGCGACGAUCCCUAGCUGGUCUGAGAGGAUGACCAGCCACACUGGAACUGAGACACGGUCCAGACUCCUACGGGAGGCAGCAGUGGGGAAUAUUGCACAAUGGGCGCAAGCCUGAUGCAGCCAUGCCGCGUGUAUGAAGAAGGCCUUCGGGUUGUAAAGUACUUUCAGCGGGGAGGAAGGUGUUGUGGUUAAUAACCGCAGCAAUUGACGUUACCCGCAGAAGAAGCACCGGCUAACUCCGUGCCAGCAGCCGCGGUAAUACGGAGGGUGCAAGCGUUAAUCG